CAUCUGCUAGAUUUUUAUUAAAGUAACAAAAAAAGGUGUACAUUUGUCCAUAAACCUGUACAUUCUUCCAUAUAAAACACUAUUAUACAAUUAGUAACCUUUGUCUUUUCUAUCAGAAUAGCUUACAAACUACUAUUAUUUAUUUUUACUUAAUAGGAGAGACAGGCCUGCUCAACAGUCCAGCUCUGGGUGUUUUGUUGAUUUUAAAGUGAACAUCAAAAAGAAGAGAGAAAAGAUUAAGCAUGAGACUAUGAGGCUGCUUAUAAUCUGCAGUGAUUCACAGCUUUGUUUCAACCCACAGGCCAGAAAAUUAGCUCUUGGGUCUGUGGGCCCAAAGUUACCUUUAAAGCAAUAAAGACUGGAAACAGGGGCUGGGAUGGUAGCUGGGGAUCUGGAACGUUGAAGAGGCAGAACUGGCAGGAAUGGGUAGGGAAAGUGUUUGGUAAAUAGCACCUUUGAAUCAGAACUGAGUAGUUAAGAAAUCCAGGAAAGGGGACUGGCAGUGGGGAGGAAGUUUUCUCCACAAGGGGCAAUGGCAGGAGGGUAGCCAGGUUGACCAGAUGUUCUAGCUCCAUCCUUCUUGAGAUGGUCUUGGGUUUGCGAUACUCAAGGCCUUCUGAGGACCCCUCACUAAUACCACUGAAAACCUGAAGGAAGAGGAUUUCUUCCCAGUGUAGUUUUGCAUUUUUCUGCAACCCAAAACAGUAAAUAUUGCACAAGUCUACAGACAAAUUUGGAUUGUACUGAGAGACGGCAACAUCUCCCACAGGUGCUCUGAGAACGGGGAAGAAAAAAACAAUGCCCAAGGUUUGGCUUUUAGUGUCAGCCCUACAAAAAUACCAAGUAGUCCUGCAGAACUUGGGGCAUUCUCCCAUUCGGCCAAGGAAUACUGCAAGGCUGAGGAUCCAGCCAUAGUCCCAAGGACAGAGGGAGAGAUGGUUCCCUAAGCCUGCCAAGGCACCAGAAGGUUGUAAGAGCCAGUUCUCCUCCAGACCCUCCUGGGACCCAAGAGGCCAUAUUGCACAGUGACUGAGAACUUUUGUCCUAGAAAACAGGGUAACUGCAUGACCCAACCAGGAGGGGAGAGGAGCAGGGAGAGUUAGAGAGGAGUGUUGUGCUUUUAAAAAGAAGGCAGUAAUCAAGGAUGUGGAGUUCCCUGUAACUUUUGAGCCACCUCUCCAAGGGAUAAUGGUAGCAUCGCCAGGACUUUCACGUAGUUCCAAAAAAAAAAAAAAAAAAAUUACCACAUAUACACAUAGAGCAGCACAUAGCAAGGCAAAGAUUUCGUGCAGAGUACCCUUCUGUCCCAACUCCAAUAACCUGCAACCCCUGCCUCACUCCCCUGAACCCCCAAACAAAAAGCUUUAUAUUCUUGGUGGGUAGCAACAUCCAUAGGCCCCUGAGAAUAGAAUUAGAAAUAAGUCAUGAUUUUAAGAAAAACUGUUCAGGACAGAAGGAAUCAAGAGAGGCUUUUUCACUCUCUGCCUAGGAUCUCAUUAGAAAAAUAAAAGAGAAAGAUUAGGCAAUAUAGCAUAAUUUAAGUCCAGGUUUGAAUGCCCCUGAGUAAGAGAGGGGCUGGGGAUGCAGGUGUCCUGGUUAGAAGAGGGAGAGGUUAGAACUCAGCCUCUCUUCUCCAUCCAGGACAGAUCCUGACCUCUCUCAUUCACAGUUGCUAACCUUGCUUGCUCCUUCUCACAACUUCCUGGGGUGCUAGCCAAGCCUCUCCCCCAUCACCUUGACCAGACCCGCCCCCUGAACUUUCCCCCCUCCCAUAGGCAGACACUGGCUCCCAGACUCAAGCGCACAACGAUUCUCUCCAAAGGCACCUGGGGAGGCCACUUCCAAGCAGCUCCCUUUAAGGAUUUUUUUCUUAAAAAAAAUCUUUUGGUUUUUUUUUUUUCUCCUCUUUUCUUAAAAAAAAAAAUAAUAUAUAUAUAAAUAGCUCUUCAUUUAAAAUACAGUUCCCCAGGUUGAGGUAUGCAAUGGCCUGUUGUCACGGCAGGCAGAAUGAGUACAGUAGAGUGCCAGGUGGGGGCCACAGGGGAUCUAACUGGAGACCGCCAUGACGUAGUUCUUCGAGGGGCUGCUCCUGCCCAGCAUCAUUUGGUUCUUGCAGGUGAGGAGCCCAUAGGAGGUGGCCACCGGGGCCUCCUCGUACAGGAC
rnacentral:lncRNA from 1 species